GUAAUAAACCUUUAAAGAAGCGCACACUACAUAUGCUGCGUUGCGAUAUACAAAAAUGGAAAAGAGACUUGCCAUAGAUCGCUUGGUAAGCUGGGGAGGAAGGAAAAAAUUGCGACGCAAAAUUUUCAUUGAUCAAAACGCCCACUAAAAUCCGAAAACGAGUAGCAAGUUGGGGGGGGAAAGUAGGUAGAAGCCGCUGAAGAUGAUGGAGUUUUUAAAAUGCGAAAGGUUGGUUUUUGCACAAUGUAAACAAAGCCGAUUACACAUUUUGCAGGCGGAAAAGGCCAGCAAGUAGUAUAGCAAAGAACAAAAGACCGACACUUGGGUGCAGUUGAAAUGCGACACAGUUCAAAUACCAUCGUUACGAGGGCUCGAUUAAAUUUUUUCGUUGGCAAUGGAACUGUAGGGGACAAGGAUAUAUGGCUAGUGAAAGCUGCAUACAACUGUGUACUUGAAAACUGAGUAGGGAAGAAUCAAAUUGUUUACAGAUUAAUACAAAAUUGUUAAGUUGUUGAGAUUUGACUCUUAACAUAUAAAAAGAACAGAAAACCAUAUUCUGCAAAGAGAUU